GGGGGAAAAAAAAUUUGGGGAGGAAUUUUGACCAAAGUCAAAAUAAAAACCCUAGUAUUGAAUUUUGCACAUUGGUCCCCCAAUUCUUAAGUAACUUCCAUGCGGCCCCCAGCUUCACAUCUUUUUCAGAAUAGCCCCCAAACCUGCGAAAAUUAUCAAAUCACACCCAAAUCAGCUUUUUUUUUUUUUUUUUUUUUAAGAAAACGAAAAAAAAAAAAAAUAAAAUAAAAUAAAAUAAAAAAUAAAAACAAGGGCAAGAGAAAUCGGGUUGCCUCCCGAUGAGCGCCUUUGUUUAACGUCCUUGGCUGGACAGAAAAGAAAUUCCAAAAGCCUUAAACGAUGGUUGGAGACGUCAGGCUAAGCGCAU
rnacentral:lncRNA from 1 species